rnacentral:lncRNA from 1 species
UUUUUUUUUUUUUUUAAAACAUAAUUUGAAAUAUGCCAUCUGAGAUAUAUGAACUUGGGCCUAACUCCAUUCUUGUAAGGACACCACUGGCACUCCCUUAACAAGAAUUCUUAAAACAGUGAUCCCUUUCCCUCUUCUAUGCGUCUCCUAGCCUCUCCACUGGGCCUUUACGCUUUGAGAGGUCACUCAGGGCUUAUUUUAAAAACAGUUUUAAACUUUAAACUUGGAGUUAAGACAUGCUCUUAUCAUAUACUCAGCAUGAAACAUAAAAA